rnacentral:lncRNA from 1 species
UGCCUUUUGGGUUGAAUCUUCAAUCCAUCGCUCUUUUGCCGAAUCAAUAAUAUUGGCUUCAACUUAUAAGGCUCUGGUUAGGAAAUUUGUGAGAGAAGCUAAGUUGUUGAGAGUCGAAAGUGUGAAUAACUGAGAUUACGUUCACCAUUAUGUUUUUUUUUUUGAAAUAGAUCAUGAUAUUUGGUAAAGAGAAGAACAACACAGAGAAAGAGAAGUGGAAUGAUGGAAGAGAGAGAAGAGAAGUUUUAGUGGUAGAGAGAGAAGAGAAAAAGAGUCGUAUGUGAGUGAAAGUUUGAAUGGCUAACUUAGGUUUUUGGAGUGAAGUAUAGGGUUAGAACCGUCUAAAAAAAAGAGAGCAAAAUAAUCAUUUAUGAAUGUUAGAUUCUUAAUAAAAGAGUUAACUGAAUACAUGAAGUGCAAUUUCCCUUUUUAAAACACAAAACAUUAUGUAAUAUAUAUAGGUAAUUCACUAUACAUAUAAAUUAUACAUUUUAAAAAUAUAUA